CUACCAAAAGCGAAAGCAGUUGGUUGGGCUAUACCCUUUGUGCCUGUGCGCGCGCGUACAAAUUUACACACACACACACACAAAAAUUUGUUCACGCGCGCCAUGACACUUUACAAUGAAGAACGAAGGUUGGGGGAUCAAAGAGGAUCAGAUACCCUCGUCGUCCCAUUAGUUACAUCAAACUAUGGGCUCUCAAUUGCUGCCAGUUUAACUGUCGAGUAUUUGAUAUGAUCUCGUACCCUGACCUGCAAACCUGUGACGGCUUGAGCCUCCCCGCUCGCUGACCACUAAUCUGUAUUCGGUCUCAGUAUAGACACAUAUCUACUCACCAUAUAAAUAAAGUCAUGUUAGCACUAAAUAUCGAACAGCUUCAUCGCUCACUAGAUAUGUUGACAUAAGAUUUUAUGAACUUUGCGCUCAGUUAAUAUACGGUGAGAUGUAAGCAACGUAGACAUUUGCGCGUGGCAUCUUCUGACUCUUCGGAGCAGAGGCCGCCGCAUUAUGUCUAAUAUAUGAUGUGAAGCACGUGUUAGGUACGCGCUUACUGCAGAAAU
rnacentral:rRNA from 1 species